CUAAGAAUUAGAUGCCAGAAUAGAACCAGCAAUGGGCCAUAUGAGGAUUAUAAUUGGAAGCGAUUUGACAGGAAUUAUAAGGGUGAGGAAGCAAUCCUAGGCUAAAUCGUGGAAGAAGGAGAUGAAGGGAGACAAAAUCCCACACAAACUCUCACCAAAGAAUAACCAGAAGAUAAUUCUGCAUCAAACGUCUGAUAGAAUAAGCAGCCUUGAAGACCAAGGCACCAGGGAUGGAACUCAGGUCAUCAAACCCGAGAAGCACAUGCAUUGCCCUACUGAGCCAUCUCAUCU